rnacentral:rRNA from 1 species
UACGGGGGGGCAAGCGUUGUCCGGAAUUAUUGGGCGUAAAGAGCUCGUAGGCGGUUCGGCAAGUCGGAUGUGAAAUCUCCACGCUUAACGUGGAGGGGCCAUUCGAAACUGCUGUGACUCGAGUCCGGUAGGGGAGCAUGGAAUUCCUGGUGUAGCGGUGAAAUGCGCAGAUAUCAGGAGGAACACCAGUGGCGAAGGCGGGUCUCUGGGCAGUGAACUGACGCUGAGGAGCGAAAGCGUGGGGAGCGAACAGG